GGUGCGGUGUGGAGCAGUCGUGUCCGUGCCGCGUUUCGGAGUGUGUUCGUACCGGUACGCGUAACCGACGUUUCUCCUCGCCUUGAUGAUUUUCAUCGUAGUGAUUCUCGAUGCUUGGCACUCGUGACAAGUGACUGCCCCGGGACGUGCUAUUCGACCGAUUCCUCCGCUGACACGUUGCGAAACAGUGAAAGGUAAAGAGGACGGACCAGCCGAGAUCGAAGACGACGAAGGAAGAGCAGCGGGAAUCAGUUACGGAGCGUCCGACGCGAAAAAAACUGGGUGACGCAAGCUGCAGUCGCAUCCGGUGCCCGAACAAAGCUGCUUCUGCCAUCGAUCCGAUCGGCGACCGGUUCCACAGGACGUGUUGGAAUCAAAGAAUAUCGCUCGAUAACGAGGUCUCAAGGUGCAACGCGACGACGACCUUCUUUCUCCCAUUUCGGC